GACGAACGCUGGCGGCGUGCUUAACACAUGCAAGUCGAACGGGCCUUGUCCCCUUUUUUUUGGGGGUGGGGUUAGUGGCGAACGGGUGAGUAACACGUGAGUAACCUGCCCCUCACUUCUGGAUAACCGCUUGAAAGGGUGGCUAAUACGGGGUGUUCUGGCCUGCUCGCAUGGGUGGGUUUGGAAAGAUUCGACCGGUUUUGGUUGUUUUGGUGGGGGAUGGGCUCGCGGCCUAUCAGCUUGUUGGUGGGGUGAUGGCCUGCCAAGGCUUUGACGGGUAGCCGGGCUGGGGGGGUGGGCGGUCACACUGGGACUGAGGGACGGCCCAGACUCCUACGGGAGGCAGCAGUGGGGAAUAUUGCACAAUGGGCGCAAGCCUGAUGCAGCGACGCCGCGUGAGGGAUGGAGGCCUUCGGGUUGUGAACCUCUUUCGGCAGGGAAGAAGGUCCUGCUCUUUGUGGUGGGGUUGACGGUAGCUGGGUUAAUGAAGCGCCGGCUAACUACGUG
rnacentral:rRNA from 1 species